UACGUAGGGUGCAAGCGUUAAUCGGAAUUACUGGGCGUAAAGCGUGCGCAGGCGGUGAUGUAAGACAGAUGUGAAAUCCCCGGGCUCAACCUGGGAACUGCAUUUGUGACUGCAUCGCUGGAGUACGGCAGAGGGGGAUGGAAUUCCACGUGUAGCAGUGAAAUGCGUAGAGAUGUGGAGGAAUACCGAUGGCGAAGGCAGCCCCCUGGGAUAACACUGACGCUCAUGCACGAAAGCGUGGGGAGCAAACAGG
rnacentral:rRNA from 1 species